UCCGUAGGUGAACCUGCGGAAGGAUCAUUAUUGCCAAUCAUUCAACUAGCACGCUCUCGGGCGUGCUAUGUUAUAAACAUACACACAUAAAUAAAAAAUGAAAAUUUUCAACGGUGGAUAUCUCGGUUCUCAUAACGAGGAAGAACGCAGCGAACUGCGAUAAGCAAUGCGAAUUGCAGGACCCGCGAGUCAUCAGAUUUUUGAACGUAAUAAACGUCAAGGGGGAAAUCCUCUUGACAUGUUUGCUUCAGUGUUGAAAUUAUCUCUACCUUAAUGUGAUUGAAUGCGCCUGUGCGCAUUCUCUCAUCAAAAAGGAAUGCUUUGCAUUCGCGUCCAAUGAAGUAGUCACCUCUGCGCAAGCAGAAAGUGAGUUCAUUGGUAAUUCGAAUGAGAAAGCAUAGAGCUCAGCGUCUUUGAAAAUAAUUAAAACCUGAAGUAAGCAAGACUACCCGCUGAACUUAA
rnacentral:rRNA from 1 species